UACGAAGGGGGCUAGCGUUGUUCGGAAUUACUGGGCGUAAAGCGCACGUAGGCGGACAUUUAAGUCAGGGGUGAAAUCCCGGGGCUCAACCUCGGAACUGCCUUUGAUACAGCAUAUCUUGAGUCCGAUAGAGGUGGGUGGAAUUCCUAGUGUAGAGGUGAAAUUCGUAGAUAUUAGGAAGAACACCGGUGGCGAAGGCGGCCCACUGGAUCGGUACUGACGCUGAGGUGCGAAAGCGUGGGGAGCAAACAGG
rnacentral:rRNA from 1 species